UGCCUUAAGUGGAGGUACCAGAGAAGUUC
rnacentral:piRNA from 1 species